rnacentral:tRNA from 1 species
AGCCUCGUAGCUCAUUUGGCUUGAGUGUUGGCUGUACUAAAGCCUUCCCCCUUGUUGGUGUGGGUUCAAAUCCCACCAAGGCCG